rnacentral:rRNA from 1 species
AUUGAACGCUGGCGGCAGGCCUAACACAUGCAAGUCGAGCGGGGUUUUCGGACCUAGCGGCGGACGGGUGAGUAAUGCUUAGGAAUCUGCCUAUUAGUGGGGGACAACAUUCCGAAAGGAAUGCUAAUACCGCAUACGCCCUACGGGAGAAAGCAUGGGAUCUUCGGGACUUGCGCUAAUAGCUGAGCCUAAGUCGGAUUAGCUAGUUGGUGGGGUAAAGGCCUACCAAGGCGCCGAUCUGUAGCGGACCUAAGAGGAAGAGCGGCCACACUGGGACUGAGACACGGCCCAGACUCCUACGGGAGGCAGCAGUGGGGAAUAUUGGACAAUGGGGGGAACCCUGAUCCAGCCAUGCCGCGUGUGUGAAGAAGGCCUUAUGGUUGUAAAGCACUUUAAGCGAGGAGGAGGCUACUGAGACUAAUACUCUUGGAUAGUGGACGUUACUCGCAGAAUAAGCACCGGCUAACUCUGUGCCAGCCGCCGCCGUAACAC